rnacentral:rRNA from 1 species
GAUGAACGCUGGCGGCGUGCCUAAUACAUGCCAGUCGAGCGAACGGACGAGAAGCUUGCUUCUCUGAUGUUAGCGGCGGACGGGUGAGUAACACGUGGAUAACCUACCUAUAAGACUGGGAUAACUUCGGGAAACCGUAGCUAGUACCGGAUAAUAUUUUGAACCGCAUGGUUCAAAAGUGAAAGACGGUCUUGCUGUCACUUAUAGAUGGAUCCGCGCUGCAUUAGCUAGUUGGUAAGGUAACGGCUUACCAAGGCAACGAUGCAUAGCCGACCUGAGAGGGUGAUCGGCCACACUGGAACUGAGACACGGUCCAGACUCCUACGGGAGGCAGCAGUAGGGAAUCUUCCGCAAUGGGCGAAAGCCUGACGGAGCAACGCCGCGUGAGUGAUGAAGGUCUUCGGAUCGUAAAACUCUGUUAUUAGGGAAGGACAUAUGUGUAAGUAACUGUGCACAUCUUGACGGUACCUAAUCAGAAAGCCACGGCUAACUACGUG